rnacentral:tRNA from 1 species
GCGGAUGUGGUGAAAUCGGUAGACACACCAGAUUUAGGUUCUGGCGCCGAAAGGCGUGUCGGUUCGAGUCCGACCAUCCGCACCA